ACAGUGGACGCGAGCAUCUGUGGCCAAGUUUUUAAGGGCGCACGGUGGAUGCCUUGGCACCAGGAACCGAUGAAGGACGUGGGAGGCCGCGAUAGGCCCCGGGGAGCUGUCAACCGAGCUGUGAUCCGGGGGUGUCCGAAUGGGGAAACCCGGCAGUCGUCAUGGGCUGUCACCCGCUGCUGAACACAUAGGCAGUGUGGAGGGAACGCGGGGAAGUGAAACAUCUCCAGUACCCGCAGGAAGAGAAAACAACCGUGAUUCCGGGAGUAGUGGCGAGCGAAACUGGAUGAGGCCAAACCGUAUGCGUGUGAUACCCGGCAGGGGUUGCGUAUGCGGGGUUGUGGGAUCUCUCUUCUGUCGUCUGCCGGCGGCAGGACGAGUCAGAAACCGUUGAUGUAGGCGAAGGACAUGCGAAAGGUCCGGCGUAGAGGGUAAGACCCCCGUAGUCGAAACGUCAGCGGCUCGUUUGAGAGACACCCAAGUAGCACGGGGCCCGAGAAAUCCCGUGUGAAUCUGGCGGGACCACCCGUUAAGCCUAAAUAUUCCCUGGUGACCGAUAGCGGAUAGUACCGUGAGGGAAUGGUGAAAAGUACCGCGGGAGCGGAGUGAAAUAGUACCUGAAACCGUGUGCCUACAAGCCGUGGGAGCGUCGCAUCGAGUGCUUGCACUUGGUGUCGUGACUGCGUGCCUUUUGAAGAAUGAGCCUGCGAGUUUGCGGUGUGUUGCGAGGUUAACCCGUGUGGGGAAGCCGUAGCGAAAGCGAGUCCGAAGAGGGCGACCUAGUAGCGCGCCCAAGACCCGAAGCGGGGUGAUCUAGCCAUGGGCAGGUUGAAGCGGAGGUAAGACUUCGUGGAGGACCGAACCCACCAGGGUUGAAAACCUGGGGGAUGACCUGUGGUUAGGGGUGAAAGGCCAAUCAAACUCCGUGAUAGCUGGUUCUCCCCGAAAUGCAUUUAGGUGCAGCGUCGUGUGUUUCUUGCCGGAGGUAGAGCACUGGAUAGGCGAUGGGCCCUACCGGGUUACUGACCUUAGCCAAACUCCGAAUGCCGGUAAGUGAGAGCGCGGCAGUGAGACUGUGGGGGAUAAGCUCCAUGGUCGAGAGGGAAACAGCCCAGAGCAUCGACUAAGGCCCCUAAGCGUACGCUAAGUGGGAAAGGAUGUGGAGUCGCAGAGACAACCAGGAGGUUGGCUUAGAAGCAGCCACCCUUGAAAGAGUGCGUAAUAGCUCACUGGUCAAGUGAUUCCGCGCCGACAAUGUAGCGGGGCUCAAGCGUACCGCCGAAGUCGUGUCACUGCAGCAUGAGACCUAACGGUUGUUGUGGUGGGUAGGGGAGCGUCGUGUGCCGGGUGAAGCAGCGCCGGAAGGUAGUUGUGGACGGUUCACGAGUGAGAAUGCAGGCAUGAGUAGCGAUACACACGUGGGAAACGUGUGCGCCGAUUGACUAAGGGUUCCUGGGUCAAGCUGAUCUGCCCAGGGUAAGUCGGGACCUAAGGCGAGGCCGACAGGCGUAGUCGAUGGACAACCGGUUGAUAUUCCGGUACCCGCUUUGAAGCGCCAAACAUCGAAUCCUCUGAUGCUAAGCCCGUGAAGCCGCCCUGAGCUCUUCGGAGUGUAGGGGAGUGGUGGAGCCGGUGACCCGAGGUGGUAGUAGGUGAGUGAUGGGGUGACGCAGGAAGGUAGUCCAGCCCGGGCGGUGGUUGUCCCGGGGUAAGGGUGUAGGGCGUCACGUAGGCAAAUCCGCGUGACAUAUAGUCUGAGACCUGAUGCCGAGCCGAUUGUGGCGAAGUGGAUGAUCCUAUGCUGUCGAGAAAAGCCUCUAGCGAGUUUCAUGGCGGCCCGUACCCUAAACCGACUCAGGUGGUCAGGUAGAGAAUACCGAGGCGUUCGGGUGAACUAUGGUUAAGGAACUCGGCAAAAUGCCCCCGUAACUUCGGGAGAAGGGGGGCCAUUCCUGGUGAUGAGUUUUGCACUUGGAGCUGGGGGUGGCCGCAGAGACCAGCGAGAAGCGACUGUUUACUAAAAACACAGGUCCGUGCGAAGCCGUAAGGCGAUGUAUACGGACUGACGCCUGCCCGGUGCUGGAACGUUAAGGGGACCGGUUAGCUCCAUUUCGGUGGGGCGAAGCUGAGAACUUAAGCGCCAGUAAACGGCGGUGGUAACUAUAACCAUCCUAAGGUAGCGAAAUUCCUUGUCGGGUAAGUUCCGACCUGCACGAAUGGCGUAACGACUUCUCGACUGUCUCAACCAUAGGCCCGGUGAAAUUGCACUACGAGUAAAGAUGCUCGUUUCGCGCAGCAGGACGGAAAGACCCCGGGACCUUUACUACAGCUUGAUAUUGGUGUUCGGUUCGGCUUGUGUAGGAUAGGUGGGAGACUGUGAAGCAUGCACGCCAGUGUGUGUGGAGUCGUCGUUGAAAUACCACUCUGGUCGUGCUGGAUGUCUAACCUGGGUCCGUGAUCCGGAUCAGGGACAGUGUCUGGUGGGUAGUUUAACUGGGGCGGUUGCCUCCUAAAGGGUAACGGAGGCGCCCAAAGGUUCCCUCAGCCUGGUUGGCAAUCAGGUGUUGAGUGUAAGUGCACAAGGGAGCUUGACUGUGAGACCGACGGGUCGAGCAGGGACGAAAGUCGGGACUAGUGAUCCGGCGGUGGCUUGUGGAAGCGCCGUCGCUCAACGGAUAAAAGGUACCCCGGGGAUAACAGGCUGAUCUUCCCCAAGAGUCCAUAUCGACGGGAUGGUUUGGCACCUCGAUGUCGGCUCGUCGCAUCCUGGGGCUGGAGUCGGUCCCAAGGGUUGGGCUGUUCGCCCAUUAAAGCGGUACGCGAGCUGGGUUUAGAACGUCGUGAGACAGUUCGGUCCCUAUCCGCUGUGCGCGUAGGAGUCUUGAGAAGGGCUGUCCCUAGUACGAGAGGACCGGGACGGACGAACCUCUGGUGUGCCAGUUGUUCUGCCAAGGGCAUGGCUGGUUGGCUACGUUCGGGAGGGAUAACCGCUGAAAGCAUCUAAGCGGGAAGCCUGCUUCGAGAUGAGGACUCCCACCCACUUGAUGGGGUAAGGCUCCCAGUAGACGACUGGGUUGAUAGGCCAGAUAUGGAAGCCGGGUGACCGGUGGAGUUGACUGGUACUAAUAGGCCGAGGGCUUGUCCUCAGUUG
rnacentral:rRNA from 1 species